rnacentral:rRNA from 1 species
UUGACGGUAACGAUAGCAGCUUGCUUGCUAGGCGACGAGUAGCGGACGGGUGAGUAAUACAUAGGAAUCUGCCCAGUAGCGGGGGACAACUCGGAGAAAUCCGAGCUAAUACCGCAUACGCCCUACGGGGGAAAGCGGAGGAUCUUCGGACUUCGCACUAUUGGAUGAGCCUAUGUCGGAUUAGCUUGUUGGUGAGGUAAUGGCCUACCAAGGCAACGAUCUGUAGCUGGUCUGAGAGGACGAUCAGCCACACUGGGACUGAGACACGGCCCAGACUCCUACGGGAGGCAGCAGUGGGGAAUAUUGGACAAUGGGCGCAAGCCUGAUCCAGCAAUGCCGCGUGUGUGAAGAAGGCCUGCGGGUUGUAAAGCACUUUCAAUCGUGAAAAAAAGCUCAUGGUUAAUACCCAUGAGUCUUGAU